UACGUAGGGGGCUAGCGUUGUCCGGAUUUAUUGGGCGUAAAGAGCGUGUAGGCGGCCAGGUAGGUCUGCUGUGAAAACUCGAGGCUCAACCUCGAGACGUCGGCGGAAACCAUCUGGCUAGAGUCCGGAAGAGGAGAGUGGAAUUCCGUGGUGUAGCGGUGAAAUGCGCAGAUAUCGAGGAAGAACACCCGUGGCGAAGGCGGCUCUCUGGGACGGUACUGACGCUGAGACGCGAAAGCGUGGGGAGCGAACAGG
rnacentral:rRNA from 1 species